ensembl:lncRNA
AAUGAUCCCAAAGACACUGAUUAACAUUGAUUAGCAUGCUCAGGUGUGUUUGUUUAGGGUUAGAGCUAAACUUUACAGGAAAGUGGAUCUCGUGGUCCAGAUUUGAGGAUCUCUGGUGUAGAUAGAUACAUUAAGUGUAGAUAGUUAGAAAACAUUUUAAAAACACACCUCCACACAAUAUCUUGUGUCCUGCAGCGUAGAGAUCCAUCAUAAUACAUCUAGUCUGCCUCUCUCUUCUUUUGGAAAAGUCAAUCAUGAAGGAAGAUGUUUAUUGCUCUAAUUAAGCAGACACAUUCACAGAUUCUUAUUCCAUGCCAUUUAACAGGCUUUAGAAAGGCAGCGAGAGAUGGAGAGAAGGCUAUUGUGGAGACAUAAAUGUGUCUGUCUGAAUAUGCUGCCUAAUUAUGUCCUUUGAGACUAGGACAAGAGGAGAGGGGAAUGAGAGAAUGAAGAGGGGGAAACGCAGGAUGAGGAAGAGGGAGAGAGAGAAUAGAGGGGGAGGAGAUAUGCGAGUGCCUCAAGGAGUCUGAGAGACAGAGGUCUUAAGCCACAGAUGAAUGGAAGAAGACAAACUAAGCAGAUGUAAGAAUGACAGAGAGAGAGAGAGUUGGGGGAGGGCCGGACAGACAAAAAGAAAAAGAAAAGCCAUUGAGAGGAAGUAAAGAACACUAGAUACACAAAAGUAAAACAAGAGCAAUACUUUCAGUCAGCCUUUCUAUUAUAAAGUGGAGGACUGUAUACAAGAGACUUAAUGACAAAGACACACACACACAAUGUCUCAUUUAGAGAUUAACAUUGAAUGCAACAUUUAUUUAUGAGGUAUUUAUAUAUUUUUGUUAAAUAUAUACAUGUAAAUGUUAUAUGUAAAUAUAAAUGUAAAUAUGUUCAAAAUAUAUACUGUAUGUGUGUAUUUAUAUAUGCAUAAUAAAUAUACACAGUACACGUAAACAAAAAAAUCGUGAAUAAUUGUUUGACAUCAUUAAUUUUUUUUUUAUUCUUUACCUUUAGCAUUAUUCUACAUUUUCUGUCUCAAGAUAAGCACAUUUACCUUUUUCCCCACUAUACACUUGACAUGCAGUACCUGCAGUUUUUAUCACUGCAGUCCUGAAUACUGUACAUGGAAACAGAUUUACUUACCUUUCUAUGAAUUCCUGAGAGGAAAUUCACAUUAGUCUUCAAAUACAUUUGGAAAUAUUUCCAAAAAAACUAGUGCAUGAUUAAUUUUGAAACAAUUUUCACAAAUAAUUACAAAGAAACAAAAGUCCCUUUAUUGACUUUAUUUAAUACAGUAUAUUUAAUAUAUUAAAUAUAUAUUUAAUAUAAAGUCAAUCAAGUGAUGUAAAAAAUGAGUGAAAAAUAGUUCACCAAAAAUUACAAAUCUUUUUUUUUUUUGAACACCAAAGAUACAUAUUGAUGAAAUAUAUUAAUAAAUGUCUCAAUGUUUUUGACUCCAGUGUUCUCUUUUAGUUCUGCAAAAGGAAUAAUCUCAUACAGGUUUGGAAGUUGGAACCAUUUUUUUUGUAAUCAGAAAAUUGAAUUUAAAAUGCAAAAACAUACUAUUUAAAUAUCUGCAUAUUGUGUACCACACAUACCUUUUCUUCAAAUAAUAGGUAGUAUUCAAUAAGUAUGCCAUUCCAACACAGCCUCUCAUAUUCUCUCUCUUGGUAUUAAGGGCUACAGCUGCAUUGCUUUUGGGCUGAUUGGAUUUCUUCAUGAGUGGCCCAUGUCAUGCUUUCUCAGUCGAGGAUGAACUGGGCCCCUGGUUCCCUGGGAUCAGCCGUCUGGAUGCACAGUCAGUUCUGCAGGUGUAAAAUCCCAAAGGAGACAUGUGCACAUAAAACAGCAUGAACAUUGUGGUUAAUGAUGAAACUAGACUGCCAGGUGCCGUCUGGGUGGGCUUGUUGCCAUGGUGAGGAAUCUGGUGAAUGCAUUUGAGAAAGGUAGAAGGGGGAAAAGGACACAGAAGAUGUAGGAAGAUUCUGACAGGAGCAAACAUAACAGCGGAUCACUGCUGCUUAAUGUGGAAUUGAGCCAGAGUUUGUGUGUGUGUGAAAUGUAAGGUCAUUUCACGGUCUAAAAAAGAUGUGUCGUGUGGGUGUCAUUUAGCCUUGUUUUAUUAGUGUUUCUGGGGUCAACCUUUUUGUUUUUAAGUCAGUUUGAGUAAAUAUUGCAAAUGCAGUAUCUAUUUAAAAAAAAUAAAAAAUUCCCCAGCAAUUCUGUGAGUGUUUUGUGACAUUUAUAUUUUGCUACAUUUGUUCACUGAAAGGUUAUCUGGGAAACUCAAAAUGGUUCUUCAAUGGCAUUGGUGUGAAAAC